UACGGAGGGUGCAAGCGUUAAUCGGAAUUACUGGGCGUAAAGCGUGCGCAGGCGGUUUGUUAAGUCUGUUGUGAAAUCCCCGAGCUCAACUUGGGAAUUGCAAUGGAUACUGGCAGGCUGGAGUAUGGUAGAGGAAGGUGGAAUUCCCGGUGUAGCAGUGAAAUGUGUAGAGAUCGGGAGGAACACCAGUGGCGAAGGCGGCCUUCUGGACCAAUACUGACGCUCAUGCACGAAAUCGUGGGGAGCAAACAGG
rnacentral:rRNA from 1 species